AACGAACGCUGGCGGUAUGCUUAACACAUGCAAGUCGAACGGCAGCACGGGCUUCGGCCUGGUGGCGAGUGGCGGACGGGUGAGUAAUGCUUGGGAAUCUGCCUGGUGGUGGGGGAUAACGCGUCGACAGGGGCGCUAAUACCGCAUACGCUCUACGGAGGAAAGCGGGGGAUCUUCGGACCUCGCGCCAGUAGAUGAGCCCAAGUCCGAUUAGCUAGUUGGUAGGGUAAAGGCUUACCAAGGCGACGAUCGGUAGCUGGUCUGAGAGGACGAUCAGCCACACUGGGACUGAGACACGGCCCAGACUCCUACGGGAUGCAGCAGUGGGGAAUAUUGGACAAUGGGGGAAACCCUGAUCCAGCCAUGCCGCGUGUGUGAAGAAGGCCUUCGGGUUGUAAAGCACUUUUGGCGAGAACGAAACGGCGCUGGUUAAUACCUGGCGCUAAUGACGGUACUCGCAGAAUAAGCACCGGCUAACUACGUGCCAGCAGCCGCCGUAA
rnacentral:rRNA from 1 species